CCUACGGGAGGCAGCAGUGGGGAAUAUUGGACAAUGGGCGCAAGCCUGAUCCAGCCAUGCCGCGUGUGUGAAGAAGGCCUUCGGGUUGUAAAGCACUUUCAGUAGGGAGGAAGCGUUGAGUGUUAAUAGUACUCAGCGUUGACGUUACCUACAGAAGAAGCACCGGCUAACUCUGUGCCAGCAGCCGCGGUAAUACAGAGGGUGCAAGCGUUAAUCGGAAUUACUGGGCGUAAAGCGCACGUAGGCGGUUUUUUAAGUCAGAUGUGAAAGCCCCGGGCUCAACCUGGGAAUUGCAUUUGAAACUGGAAAACUAGAGUGUGUGAGAGGGGGGUAGAAUUCCAAGUGUAGCGGUGAAAUGCGUAGAGAUUUGGAGGAAUACCAGUGGCGAAGGCGGCCCCCUGGCACAACACUGACGCUCAGGUGCGAAAGCGUGGGGAGCAAACAGGAUUAGAUACCCUAGUAGUC
rnacentral:rRNA from 1 species